UUGCCCUUUGUCUUCAAGAACUGGGAAGUGCAACCAUUUUUUUUUUUUUGCAUGUGACAAGCUAUUCCAGAAAGGCACUAGUGGUGUUUCCAGUGCGCAGCCAUGUUUCCAGUCAUCAUUUCAUUCCUGGGGAUACCGUUUUUCAUGGGAGAUGUCCAAGCACAGUCAGUUACACAGCUGGAUGCCCAUGUCACUGUCUUUGAAGGAAACUUGGUGGAGCUCAGAUGCAACUAUUCCUACAGUGGAGCUCCUUACCUCUUCUGGUACAUGCAGCACCCUGGCCACGGCCUCCAGCUUCUCCUCAGCUACCGUUCAGGAAGCUCUGUGGUUCACGGAAUAAAUGGCUUCGAGGCUAACUUUCAGAAGAGUAACUCUUCCUUCCACCUGAAGAAAACCUCUGUGCGCUGGAGCGACUCGGCUGUGUACUUCUGUGCUCUGAGUGCACAGUGUCUGAGCCUGCAGGGGGAGCUGAACACAAACCUGUAA